rnacentral:rRNA from 1 species
AUUGAACGCUGGCGGCAUGCUUUACACAUGCAAGUCGAACGGCAGCGGGGAGGAGCUUGCUUCUCUGCCGGCGAGUGGCGAACGGGUGAGUAAUACAUCGGAACGUUUCGAGAAGAGGGGGAUAACCACCCGAAAGGGUGGCUAAUACCGCAUAAAUUCUGAGGAAGAAAGCUGGGGACCUAGGAAUAGGCCUAGCGCUUUUUGAGCGGCCGAUGUCGGAUUAGCUAGUUGGUGAGGUAAAGGCUCACCAAGGCGAAGAUCUGUAGCGGGUCUGAGAGGAUGAUCCGCCACACUGGGACUGAGACACGGCCCAGACUCCUACGGGAGGCAGCAGUGGGGAAUUUUGGACAAUGGGGGCAACCCUGAUCCAGCCAUGCCGCGUGUAUGAAGAAGGCCUUAGGGUUGUAAAGUACUUUUGUUAGGGAAGAAAAGUCAGCUGUGAAUAAUGGCUGAUACUGACGGUACCUAAAGAAUAAGCACCGGCUAACUACGUG